GAUUGGCUGCCCCUCCGCAUCCAUAAUGUAAUUAAAACAAGGGGGGAAAAAUUAUCAUGGAGGCAGAGGUUAAUGCAAGUGUUUAGCAGAUGCUUUACUGUAAAAUCUGCAUUAUAAAAAAAAAAACCAAAAAAAAAAAACAAAACAAAAACCAAAACCCAAAACCAAUAACAACCAAAACCCAACAAACGCAUAAAAACUUAAAUAUCGGACAAUCUCAAACCAGCCCGCUGCCUGCUCCUACGCACCCCGACCUGCACUCACCCAGCGAACGGCUCCGGCAACAGGUUUCAAGCUCCUUUAACUGGUCUGAUGGGAAAGUAACUGAAGAAGCCGGAAAAUUGAGAACUGAAUGUCACGUACCUCCUCAGACCUGCAGGGAAACCCAGCCGUGACCAAAAUAUUGGGUGUAAAUGCGACAACAAAAAUAAAUACUUUACAUCACCGAGCAGAACAUAUUUUAAGAAGUCAA